rnacentral:rRNA from 1 species
UACGGACGGGGCAAGCGUUGUUCGGAAUCAUUGGGCGUAAAGGGCGCGCAGGUGGCUCUGUAUGUCUGCCGUGAAAGCAUACAGCUCAACUGUAUUGUGUCGGUAGAAACUGCAGGACUUGAGGCUGGGAGGGGCUGGUGGAAUUCCCUGUGUAGCGGUGAAAUGCGUAGAGAUGGGGGAGAACACUCGUGGCGAAGGCGGCCAGCUAGACCAGUUCUGACACUGAGGCGCGACAGCGUGGGGAGCAAACAGG